AGAGUUUGAUCAUGGCUCAGAUUGAACGCUGGCGGCAGGCCUAACACAUGCAAGUCGAGCGGUAGCACAGAGAGCUUGCUCUCGGGUGACGAGCGGCGGACGGGUGAGUAAUGUCUGGGAAACUGCCUGAUGGAGGGGGAUAACUACUGGAAACGGUAGCUAAUACCGCAUAAUGUCGCAAGACCAAAGUGGGGGACCUUCGGGCCUCAUGCCAUCAGAUGUGCCCAGAUGGGAUUAGCUUGUAGGUGGGGUAACGGCUCACCUAGGCGACGAUCCCUAGCUGGUCUGAGAGGAUGACCAGCCACACUGGAACUGAGACACGGUCCAGACUCCUACGGGAGGCAGCAGUGGGGAAUAUUGCACAAUGGGCGCAAGCCUGAUGCAGCCAUGCCGCGUGUGUGAAGAAGGCCUUCGGGUUGUAAAGCACUUUCAGCGGGGAGGAAGGCGGUGAGGUUAAUAACCUCAUCGAUUGACGUUACCCGCAGAAGAAGCACCGGCUAACUCCGUGCCAGCAGCCGCGGUAAUACGGAGGGUGCAAGCGUUAAUCGGAAUUACUGGGCGUAAAGCGCACGCAGGCGGUCUGUCAAGUCGGAUGUGAAAUCCCCGGGCUUAACCUGGGAACUGCAUUCGAAACUGGCAGGCUAGAGUCUUGUAGAGGGGGGUAGAAUUCCAGGUGUAGCGGUGAAAUGCGUAGAGAUCUGGAGGAAUACCGGUGGCGAAGGCGGCCCCCUGGACAAAGACUGACGCUCAGGUGCGAAAGCGUGGGGAGCAAACAGGAUUAGAUACCCUGGUAGUCCACGCCGUAAACGAUGUCGAUUUGGAGGUUGUGCCCUUGAGGCGUGGCUUCCGGAGCUAACGCGUUAAAUCGACCGCCUGGGGAGUACGGCCGCAAGGUUAAAACUCAAAUGAAUUGACGGGGGCCCGCACAAGCGGUGGAGCAUGUGGUUUAAUUCGAUGCAACGCGAAGAACCUUACCUGGUCUUGACAUCCACAGAACUUAGCAGAGAUGCUUUGGUGCCUUCGGGAACUGUGAGACAGGUGCUGCAUGGCUGUCGUCAGCUCGUGUUGUGAAAUGUUGGGUUAAGUCCCGCAACGAGCGCAACCCUUAUCCUUUGUUGCCAGCGGUCCGGCCGGGAACUCAAAGGAGACUGCCAGUGAUAAACUGGAGGAAGGUGGGGAUGACGUCAAGUCAUCAUGGCCCUUACGACCAGGGCUACACACGUGCUACAAUGGCAUAUACAAAGAGAAGCGACCUCGCGAGAGCAAGCGGACCUCAUAAAGUAUGUCGUAGUCCGGAUUGGAGUCUGCAACUCGACUCCAUGAAGUCGGAAUCGCUAGUAAUCGUAGAUCAGAAUGCUACGGUGAAUACGUUCCCGGGCCUUGUACACACCGCCCGUCACACCAUGGGAGUGGGUUGCAAAAGAAGUAGGUAGCUUAACCUUCGGGAGGGCGCUUACCACUUUGUGAUUCAUGACUGGGGUGAAGUCGUAACAAGGUAACCGUAGGGGAACCUGCGGUUGGAUCACCU
rnacentral:rRNA from 1 species